ensembl:snoRNA Snord91a small nucleolar RNA, C/D box 91A
UAGAGAAGUCAAUGAUGGUUACACCCACAAUGUCUGAACCUAUCUGAAGCAUCUCAGUGAUGCAGUCUAUGGCUCUGAGACUUCCCUACUU